GUGUGUGCCCAGGUGUAUGGCAGUGCCCAGGUGUGUGUGUGCCGUGCCCAGGUGUGUGUGCCCAGGUGUGUAGCAGUGCCCAGGUGUGUUUGUGCAGUGUCCAGGUGUGUGUGCCAUGCCCAGGUGUGUGCCCAGGUGUGUUUGUGCCAUGCCCAGGUGUGUGUGCCGUGUCCCCCCCGUGCUCAGCCGCUCUCUCCCGGGCCGUGUCCCCGCUGUCGCUCCGUGCGCGGGGCUCCGGCACCGCCGUGUGGCAGAGCCGGGAACAGCCCCGAGCCCGGGACAGCGCGGGGACAGCGACAGCGCGGGGACAGUGGCAGUGCUGGGGACAUCACAGGGACAGUGACAGUGCUGGGGACACUGUGGCCGCCCGGGCUCAAGGCUGCACAAAGUGGGCUCCAGCCUCUGUCCCCUUGUCCCUCUGUCCCCUUGUCCCCAAGCCGGGCUGGGGAUCCAAAUCUCAGCAGCACCAGCAUUCCAGUGUUGGGGACACUGCCAUGGUGACACUGCCAUGGUGACACUGCCAUGGUGACACCGCCAUGGGGACACUGCCGUGGGGACAUCUUCUACCCCAGGGGACAUUCUGCCAGCCCCUGCCCUGCCCAGCCAGCCCCUCCCUGCUCCCCUGCCCUUUGUCAGUGCUUUAUUUAUUCCCAACUCCCUGGGGAGGGACAGGGGUCCCUGGGAAGGACAGGGGUCCCUGGGCAUGGAAAGGGGUCCCUGGGAAGGACAGGGGUCCCUGGGGAUGGAAAGGGGUCCCUG